rnacentral:rRNA from 1 species
UUGAACGCUGGCGGCAGGCCUAACACAUGCAAGUCGAGCGGUAGCACAGAGAGCUUGCUCUCGGGUGACGAGCGGCGGACGGGUGAGUAAUGUCUGGGAAACUGCCUGAUGGAGGGGGAUAACUACUGGAAACGGUAGCUAAUACCGCAUAACGUCGCAAGACCAAAGUGGGGGACCUUCGGGCCUCAUGCCAUCAGAUGUGCCCAGAUGGGAUUAGCUAGUAGGUGGGGUAACGGCUCACCUAGGCGACGAUCCCUAGCUGGUCUGAGAGGAUGACCAGCCACACUGGAACUGAGACACGGUCCAGACUCCUACGGGAGGCAGCAGUGGGGAAUAUUGCACAAUGGGCGCAAGCCUGAUGCAGCCAUGCCGCGUGUGUGAAGAAGGCCUUCGGGUUGUAAAGCACUUUCAGCGGGGAGGAAGGCGAUAAGGUUAAUAACCUUGUCGAUUGACGUUACCCGCAGAAGAAGCACCGGCUAACUCCGUGCCAGCAGCCGCGGUAAUACGGAGGGUGCAAGCGUUAAUCGGAAUUACUGGGCGUAAAGCGCACGCAGGCGGUCUGUCAAGUCGGAUGUGAAAUCCCCGGGCUCAACCUGGGAACUGCAUUCGAAACUGGCAGGCUAGAGUCUUGUAGAGGGGGGUAGAAUUCCAGGUGUAGCGGUGAAAUGCGUAGAGAUCUGGAGGAAUACCGGUGGCGAAGGCGGCCCCCUGGACAAAGACUGACGCUCAGGUGCGAAAGCGUGGGGAGCAAACAGGAUUAGAUACCCUGGUAGUCCACGCCGUAAACGAUGUCGAUUUGGAGGUUGUGCCCUUGAGGCGUGGCUUCCGGAGCUAACGCGUUAAAUCGACCGCCUGGGGAGUACGGCCGCAAGGUUAAAACUCAAAUGAAUUGACGGGGGCCCACACAAGCGGUGGAGCAUGUGGUUUAAUUCGAUGCAACGCGAAGAACCUUACCUGGUCUUGACAUCCACAGAACUUUCCAGAGAUGGAUUGGUGCCUUCGGGAACUGUGAGACAGGUGCUGCAUGGCUGUCGUCAGCUCGUGUUGUGAAAUGUUGGGUUAAGUCCCGCAACGAGCGCAACCCUUAUCCUUUGUUGCCAGCGGUUAGGCCGGGAACUCAAAGGAGACUGCCAGUGAUAAACUGGAGGAAGGUGGGGAUGACGUCAAGUCAUCAUGGCCCUUACGACCAGGGCUACACACGUGCUACAAUGGCAUAUACAAAGAGAAGCGACCUCGCGAGAGCAAGCGGACCUCAUAAAGUAUGUCGUAGUCCGGAUUGGAGUCUGCAACUCGACUCCAUGAAGUCGGAAUCGCUAGUAAUCGUAGAUCAGAAUGCUACGGUGAAUACGUUCCCGGGCCUUGUACACACCGCCCGUCACACCAUGGGAGUGGGUUGCAAAAGAAGUAGGUAGCUUAACCUUCGGGAGGGCGCUUACCACUUUGUGAUUCAUGACUGGGGUG